rnacentral:rRNA from 1 species
GACGAACGCUGGCGGCACGCUUAACACAUGCAAGUCGAACGAGAGAAGAGAAGCUUGCUUUUCUGAUCUAGUGGCGGACGGGUGAGUAACACGUGAGCAAUCUGCCUUUCAGAGGGGGAUACCGAUUGGAAACGAUCGUUAAUACCGCAUAAUAUAAUUGAACCGCAUGAUUUGAUUAUCAAAGAUUUAUCGCUGAAAGAUGAGUUCGCGUCUGAUUAGCUAGUUGGUAAGGUAACGGCUUACCAAGGCGACGAUCAGUAGCCGGACUGAGAGGUUGAUCGGCCACAUUGGGACUGAGACACGGCCCAGACUCCUACGGGAGGCAGCAGUGGGGAAUAUUGCACAAUGGAGGAAACUCUGAUGCAGCGAUGCCGCGUGAGGGAAGAAGGUUUUAGGAUUGUAAACCUCUGUCUUCAGGGACGAAAAAAGACGGUACCUGAGGAGGAAGCUCCGGCUAACUACGUGCCAGCAGCCGCGGUAAUACGUAGGGAGCAAGCGUUGUCCGGAAUUACUGGGUGUAAAGGGAGCGUAGGCGGGAUCGCAAGUCAGAUGUGAAAACUAUGGGCUUAACCCAUAAACUGCAUUUGAAACUGUGGUUCUUGAGUGAAGUAGAGGUAAGCGGAAUUCCUAGUGUAGCGGUGAAAUGCGUAGAUAUUAGGAGGAACAUCAGUGGCGAAGGCGGCUUACUGGGCUUUAACUGACGCUGAGGCUCGAAAGCGUGGGGAGCAAACAGGAUUAGAUACCCUGGUAGUCCACGCCGUAAACGAUGAUUACUAGGUGUGGGGGGACUGACCCCUUCCGUGCCGCAGCAAACGCAAUAAGUAAUCCACCUGGGGAGUACGACCGCAAGGUUGAAACUCAAAGGAAUUGACGGGGGCCCGCACAAGCAGUGGAGUAUGUGGAUCAAUUCGAAGCAACGCGAAGAACCUUACCAGGUCUUGACAUCGUAUGCAUAGCUCAGAGAUGAGUGAAAUCUCUUCGGAGACAUAUAGACAGGUGGUGCAUGGUUGUCGUCAGCUCGUGUCGUGAGAUGUUGGGUUAAGUCCCGCAACGAGCGCAACCCUUACUGUUAGUUGCUACGCAAGAGCACUCUAGCAGGACUGCCGUUGACAAAACGGAGGAAGGUGGGGAUGACGUCAAAUCAUCAUGCCCCUUAUGACCUGGGCCUCACACGUACUACAAUGGCUGUCAACAGAGGGAAGCAAAGCCGCGAGGUGGAGCGAACCCCUAAAAGCAGUCUUAGUUCGGAUUGUAGGCUGCAACCCGCCUACAUGAAGUCGGAAUUGCUAGUAAUCGCAGAUCAGCAUGCUGCGGUGAAUACGUUCCCGGGCCUUGUACACACCGCCCGUCACGCCAUGGGAGUCGGUAACACCCGAAGCCUGUAGUCUAACCGCAAGGAGGACGCAGUCGAAGGUGGGAUUGAUGACUGGGGUG